AGUGCCAAGGCCCAAGGUGUCUCUCUGCUCCCAGCUUAGAGCUCAGCCUUCACCCAGCCCAGCCUGCUCGGCGCCUCACCUGCACCUGUUUAUUAAACAGAUGCCUCCGCAGUGGGCGGCCAGAACAGCCUGGCCAGUGAAAAUAAACCAAGACAAGCAAGGAACUGGGGUAGCCAGGGCAUGCCGAGAACAACAGGCUACUUAGGCGACCCAGGGCCAGCGAACAGGGAACAAUGGUCUGCACUGUCGGGCCCCACUCAGAAGACUCACAAACAAAAUCUUCACAGAGAAAGCAGCCUGGGAAAGAGGGUGCUGGUGAACCCACUCGGGUUCCCCUGAGCCUCCCUGGGUCAAAGAGGGGUCUCCCUCUACUCCAGGGAAACAAAGACAGUGGGGAGCCUCCACCACAGCACCCAGAUGCAGCUGGAGGGAGUCGGGGAGCACAUCACACCCCAAGGCUGGCAAGAUCCUCUCAGCGCUCGCUUUCCACCAGGGUGUGGACCCCUGCCUGGCCCUGCUGAGGGUACCUGCCCUGGGAUCGCCUCUCCCCAAUCCUGAGGCUAUCCGGCAACAGGAAGCAGCAUCCCAGUCCCGCAGGGGAGAUGUGGGUGAGAGGUCGGCUCAACCGCAGAGCAAACAAGAGGCAGGACACACACAGCCGGAGGGCUGGGUCCCUCGCUGCAGUUGCAGCAGCAGCAGCAGCAGCAGCAGCAGCCACCUUCUGCGGAGUGCCUGUGUGUGCUGGCCACUGCGUUCCACGGUGUCCAGCCCCCUUCCACUCUGCCUCACAUGCCACACGACAAUCCUGGGAGUUUCAGAGCAGGAGUGACCUGUGAAGGCUGUCAAGGGCUCAAAUACCAACUCAGCACUGUGCUGGCAUAAUCUCUGGGGCUCCUCCCACUGGAAGGAAGGAAGAAGCCAAGGUUGCAGCAGGAGUGAAGUGACCAGCCUCACACUGCAAUAUCAUACAAUAAAUUAUAUCAGUGGAUCAAAAAAAAAAAAAA